CUGAGACAUUAAUGGUGAUCCAAGGGAAGGCAGCAUGAAUUUGCUUUGGGGUCAGUCCUGUCCCAGCUGAGCUGACUGCAGCCUCUGGGGCUUUGGGGUCAGUCUUGUCCCAGCUGAGCUGACUGCAGCCUCUGGGGCUUUGGGGUCAGUCCUGUCCCAGCUGCCUGUGCUGUCCCACUGUGCACCUGCAUCUUGGUGUUGGAAACUGCACUGCCUGAGAGACCUCUUGCUGUUAAAAAGCAGUUCACUUGCACCUUUAAUGAUGAGUUUCUUGGUGUCUGAUCCAUCAACAAAACAUUUCACUGACUGACUGUUUAUCCUUGCAUGGUUCUACAAAGGGCUUGCCUGUAGCAACACCAGCAACAAAAAACCCUUCCAUGGAGUCUAGUCUUUGGAUCUAGCAGAAAUAUUCAAGGAUUUCAGCAAAAGGCAGAGCACAGGCACAGCUGCUACAGCAGCACAGAAGUGAAUAACAACCCAGAGGAGAAGCCUGCUGUUUGCACACAGGGCUGGGAGCCCUUCACAACUGGGAACUGCACAGCACGGGUUUAGGCAAUGGAAGAGAGGAAAUAAAGCCAAUGGAGAAUUAAGGAUGUCUCAUCCUUUGAAGAUCUGAAGAAAAUGUUAAAGAUCUCUAACAGCAAAAACACUGAUCUUCAGAAGCAGCUUGAGGUAGGAAUAAAAGUCCUACCAGAAGGGCUCAGCACUCUCCAGAGAAGGCAAUAAACUUUCCUGGGGUGUGGAAAUCUGCAUUCUUUCAACUGCCUCAGAAAUGCUUUAUGAAGACACCACCUCAGUUUGGUCCUUUGGGAUUGUCUGGAGCCUCUUUGCUUUUAUCAGCCAGUUACUGUCACUAGGAGAGCAACUUUACCCUUGAACACUUUUGCAAACAAAGUGUGCUGAAGUGUGGCUGUACCACAGCUGCAGCACGGCUUGGGGUGUGCAGCCACUGCAGAUGAAGAUGUGACCAUGGUGUGGAGAUGCCUGCUCAGUGUUUGGUUGUGGCCUUUGUAUCUGGCUCAGGGAUUAAGUUCUGUCUUGAGUUUGCUUUAAAUGAAAGGAACCUUGGCAUCACUUCAGCAUCACUGUUAGCCACAAGGAGAUGGAGGAUGUACAGAUGAGGACCACAAAUCUGCACCAUAAAAGGGAACUAAAGAAGCUUUUAGCUGAAGAGGGGAAAACAUCCACAGGUGAAAAGUGAAACUUCUUACUAUUUGGUGGCCUCCAAAGCAAGCAUCUGUAGGCAGAAGAUAUAUUGCCACGGUACUAUUUAAUAAGUAAAAUGAAACAUGAGUCUUUUGAUUUAAGGGGCUUUAGAAGAGUUCAUAACUCUGGGGAGGUCAUCAUCCCUGAGCUCUUGAUCCAUUGCUCUGUUUCCUGUGGGAAC
rnacentral:lncRNA from 1 species